UGUGCAUUGUAACGUUAUUUCAGUCAAUCGUUCAAUGUGUGGCCAGCAUAGGGUACUUUAUCAAAGUAAUUAUCCUCUGACCUCAGGGGGAAAUUAUUGUCCACCCCUGUCAUUAUGUACCCUUUGAGUAGGUAAUGUUCUCACUAAAUCUAAACUAAUUGUUUGUGCAGUCGAAGCCCUAACGUUAACAUUAGCUUAAGCCUAACCUAACCUUACAGUGACUGGCCACAUGUUUACCUUCCGUAAAAUCCGUUGCUUUUUCAUAGGUAAAUCCGCUACACCUCUAGAUGAAAACAAUCCAGACUUGGCUACACCGAAAUAUUUCGGCAAUAUGUUUUUAUUCUUCAUCUUAUAUCAAGUUCAGCCAGCUUGUUUUCUAUGCGCUGUCAGUGUAAACAACUAGUGCUUGUACUCCGAGUUCGUUCUUGACUACGGUUGUUAGGCACCUGAAACCGGCACACCAAUAUAUGUGA